UUGCAUAUCCAAUUAGGUUAUUUUGAAUAAGAAGAAACUAAUUGAGUAAUUUUUAUAAUAUUUAAAAAUUCGUUUACA
rnacentral:rRNA from 2 species